GACGAACGCUGGCGGCGUGCUUAACACAUGCAAGUCGAACGGAAAGGCCCUGCUUUUGUGGGGUGCUCGAGUGGCGAACGGGUGAGUAACACGUGAGUAACCUGCCCUUGACUUUGGGAUAACUUCAGGAAACUGGGGCUAAUACCGGAUAGGAGCUCCUGCUGCAUGGUGGGGGUUGGAAAGUUUCGGCGGUUGGGGAUGGACUCGCGGCUUAUCAGCUUGUUGGUGGGGUAGUGGCUUACCAAGGCUUUGACGGGUAGCCGGCCUGAGAGGGUGACCGGGCACAUUGGGAAUGAGGUAAGGCCCAGAAUCCUAAGGGGGGGAGGAGGGGGGAAAAAUGGAAAAUGGGGGGAAGGCUGGAGCAGCAAAGGCGGGGGGGGGAAGAAGGGCUUCGGGGUGGAAACCGCUUUCAGCAGGGAAGAAGCCGUGUGUGACGGUACCUGCAGAAGAAGCACCGGCUAACUACGUG
rnacentral:rRNA from 1 species